CAUUUCCUGGCCUUUACAUCAGAUGUUGCUCUCUCCGACCUGAACAAACAGCUUUAAUUUGCUGAGAGGGUGACGUCGCUGGGCAAGGACUGGCACAGGCCCUGUCUGAAGUGUGAGAAGUGCAGCAAGACCCUUUCACCAGGUUCACAUGCGGAGCAUGACGGCAAGCCUACUGUCACACCCCUGCUACGGUGCAAUGU